rnacentral:piRNA from 1 species
UGAGAGAACAUGGUCCUACUAGCCUAUAGU